UAAACAUCGGUUCUCCUAUGAGCACCGAAGUUAAGCAAGGUCAAGUCUGGCCAGUACCUAGGUGGGUGACCGCUUGGGAAUGCCCGGCUUUGUA